UACGUAGGCAGCGAGCGUUGUUCGGAAUUACUGGGCGUAAAGAGUGUGUAGGCGGUGCUCUAAGUUCGGUGUGAAAUCUCCCGCUUAACUGGGAGGGUGCGCCGGGAAACUGGAGUGCUCGAGCGUGGGAGAGGAAAGCGGAAUUCCUGGUGUAGCGGUGAAAUGCGUAGAUAUCAGGAGGAACACCUGCGGUGUAGACGGCUUUCUGGACCAUUGCUGACGCUGAGACACGAAAGCGUGGGUAGCAAACAGG
rnacentral:rRNA from 1 species